rnacentral:pre_miRNA from 1 species
UGUCGAGGUUUUCCUCGGUAGUUAACUGCAGUCGGUUCUAUUUUUUCCUCAGCAGUUAACUACCGAGUGAUAU